AACAAUUGUUCCCGGUACUCUCACCCUCUGCUAAUAAGUGCCUCCGUGGACCCAGCUGGCCACUGCACUCAGAGCUGCCCAAGCAGAGCAGAUGGCGGGGGGCCGGGGCUUCACCUUAGCGAUAUGCAUAUCUGUGCUCGAAAUCAGUGUCCUGACAGCCGGGCCCACUCCCAGUUCUUACCCAGAGCCAGGACAAAGCACCGGCACUCCAUCGCCCAUAGACUGCAGAUUAAGCUCCUGGAGCGAAUGGUCGCCAUGUGACCCUUGCCUAAAACAAAAGUUUCGUUCAAGGAGCGUUGUGGUCUUUGGACAAUUUAAUGGGCGAAGGUGCUUGGCCAGCCUGGGAGACCGACAACACUGUGUGCCCACUGAGGACUGUGAAGAUGCGGAAGAUGACUGUGGAAAUGACUUUCAAUGUGGUACAGGCAGGUGCAUAAAGAGGCGGCUUCUGUGCAAUGGGGACAAUGACUGCGGGGACUAUUCCGAUGAGGAUGAUUGUGAAAAUGACCCCCGUAAACCCUGCCGUGACAAAGUGGUGGAAGAGUCCGAGAUGGGGCGAACAGCUGGCUACGGGAUCAACAUCUUAGGGAUGGUUCCCCUAACCACGCCCUUCGACAAUGAGUUCUACAAUGGACUGUGUGACCGCGUUCGGGAUGGAAACACCUUGACCUACUACCGUAAACCCUGGAAUGUGGCUACUCUGGUCUAUGAAACCAGAGUUGAUAAAAAUUUAAGAACGGAACAUUAUGAAGAACAGUUUAAAGCAUUCCAAUCAGUCGUUCGAGAGUCAACAUCAAACUUUAAUGCAGAUAUAUCUCUAAAAUACACACCAACUGAAAAACUUGGGAAGCGUAAAAGUCUUCCUGAGGGAGGGCCAUCGCAAAGCGGACGUGGCAAUCCUUCUACAGGAGAAGACUCCCUAGUGCCUGAUGCUUCCCAAGGAAGUGCUGGUGGCUCGUUCCAAUUUAGGUAUUCCAAAAAUGAAACUUACCAACAGUUUUUGUCAUAUUCUUCUAAGAAGGAAAAAAUGUUUCUGCAUGUGAAAGGAGAAGUUGCCCUGGGAAGAUUUGUGAUGAGAAAUCGGGACAUCAUGCUGACAUCAACUUUCUUGGAUGAUUUAAAAUAUCUGCCACCUACCUAUGAAAAGGGGGAAUAUUUUGCAUUUUUGGAAACCUAUGGAACUCACUACAGUAGUUCUGGGUCUCUGGGAGGAUUAUAUGAACUGAUAUAUGUUUUGGAUAAAGCUUCCAUGGAAAAACACGGUGUUGAACUAAGGGAUGUCAAGAAAUGCCUCGGGUUUCAUGUGGACUUAUCUGUGGAUUUUGGAGUUGAAAUCAAAGGAAAUCUUAAUAAAGAUGAUUGUGUAAAGGGGGGUGAAGGUAAAGCUGUAAACAUCACCAAGGAUGGCAUCAUAGAUGAUGUGAUUUCAUUCAUAAAUGGAGGAACCAAACAAUAUGCAGCUCAACUGAAAGAGAAGCUUCUCAGAGGAGUCAAAGCGGUUGAUGUGAUGGACUUUGUGAAUUGGGCGUCUUCCUUAAGUGAUGCUCCAGUGCUCACCAAGGAAAAGCUAUCUCCUAUACAUAACCUGAUUCCACUGAAAAUGAAAGAUGCACACCUAAAGAAAGAAAAUCUGGAAAGGGCCAUUGAUGAUUAUGUCAAUGAAUACAGCAUACGAAAAUGCCACCCAUGCCAGAAUGGGGGCACUGUGAUUCUGCUGGAUGGAAAAUGUGUGUGUUCUUGCCCAAUCACAGCCGAGGGAAUUGCCUGUGAAAUUAAUAAAAAAAUAAUUCCUCCAGAAAGCAUUUGUAUUCUCCCAAAUUCCAUGCUAUUGGUACGAAGGACCUCUAUUUUCUACCUACUUAUCUCUUCCAUCACUAGUCACACUGACUCUUCCUACAGAAACUGAACAUCCCCUCUAGGAUGGAAAUGUGUCUUGUAUCUUCAACUUCAUUCUGUUCCCAGCACCUACACAGAAUCUGGCACAUCAUGAAUUGAAAAUGGAAAAGAAAUAAAGUUGUCAGCUUCCUUGGGAUCACAUGGAAGGGAAAACACCAGGAACACUAGAACUUUCCAUGUAUGAUGCUGCCCAUGGAGUUAGUCCUUGAUGCGAAAUGAAAAGCAACAUGCUUCAUGAAAAUUCUACCAACCUCCCAAGUCGUCUCUCUUGGGUCCAUGAUGCUUCUUUUCCUCCUUAAACUCCCAGGAUGUUUCUUUUUUUUUUCUUUUUUCUUUUCCCCCUAAUGAGGAGAGUCAGCAGUGAAAUAGGCCAGGACUGCUUUCUCCUACAUACAAUACCUAUCUCUCCCUAACAAAUAAAAAUUAAAUUAAAAAGAGAA